rnacentral:rRNA from 2 species
UUCUGAAUGGAAGGGCCAUCGCUCAACGGAUAAAAGGUACUCCGGGGAUAACAGGCUGAUACCGCCCAAGAGUUCAUAUCGACGGCGGUGUUUGGCACCUCGAUGUCGGCUCAUCACAUCCUGGGGCUGAAGUAGGUCCCAAGGGUAUGGCUGUUCGCCAUUUAAAGUGGUACGCGAGCUGGGUUUAGAACGUCGUGAGACAGUUCGGUCCCUAUCUGCCGUGGGCGCUGGAGAACUGAGGGGGGCUGCUCCUAGUACGAGAGGACCGGAGUGGACGCAUCACUGGUGUUCGGGUUGUCAUGCCAAUGGCACUGCCCGGUAGCUAAAUGCGGAAGAGAUAAGUGCUGAAAGCAUCUAAGCACGAAACUUGCCCCGA